rnacentral:lncRNA from 1 species
UCUAACGAUUCCUUCAUUUCAUUGUAACUCCCGUUUCCCCCAAAGUCCGAAAUCCAGCCAGGCUCCUUUCAAAGUCCUUACUCAAUUUCUGUGCUUUCCCACAACCUUCAAAGUAAUCCGACGUCGGGUGAGGUGUGAUUGGAAGCGUGGCUCCAACACCACUGGCCAAGAAUUGGUAAUUGUGGAAGCCAGAUGGAGAUGAUUGGUAUAUGGAGGCUGCAUAGAGCCUGGACCUGGGCACUGGGGUGAGCUGAGCCGGACACCAGUCCCAUCUAAACCCCAGGACAAAGUGGAAGCAGCUGAGGCAACACCAGUGGCCCUGGACAGUGACACCUCCGGGGCUGAAAAUGCAGCAGUGAGUGCUAUGCUGCACGCUGUAGCCGCCAGCCGCCUGCCUGUUUGCAGCCAGCAGC